CAAUGAGGUCACACUGAUGACACGUCUGGGGUGAUGACCCAUUAAACUCUAUCUUUCUUACCUUGUGACCGGGGUGGCAGAAAUAUACUGCUUGACAACCCCUUCCCAUACACUUUCAUUUGGAGAGAGCUUAGACUCGGUAUGAGGACGAAAGAGAAUGACAACAGGAGAUGGCGACAGAGAUGGAAAGUUACAGAUUGCAGUGGAAAUAAUGUUUUCAAUCUGUCCU